rnacentral:rRNA from 1 species
GGGUUGUGAGGUUAAGCGACUAAGCGUACACGGUGGAUGCCCUGGCAGUCAGAGGCGAUGAAGGACGUGCUAAUCUGCGAUAAGCGUCGGUAAGGUGAUAUGAACCGUUAUAACCGGCGAUUUCCGAAUGGGGAAACCCAGUGUGUUUCGACACACUAUCAUUACGUGAAUACAUAGCGUAAUGAAGCGAACCGGGGGAACUGAAACAUCUAAGUACCCCGAGGAAAAGAAAUCAACCGAGAUUCCCCCAGUAGCGGCGAGCGAACGGGGAGCAGCCCAGAGUCUGAAUCAGCUUGUGUGUUAGUGGAACGGUCUGGAAAGUCCGACGGUACAGGGUGAUAGUCCCGUACACCAAAAUGCACAGGUUGUGAACUCGAAGAGUAGGGCGGGACACGUGGUAUCCUGUCUGAAUAUGGGGGACCAUCCUCCAAGGCUAAAUACUCCUGACUGACCGAUAGUGAACCAGUACCGUGAGGGAAAGGCGAAAAGAACCCCGGCGAGGGGAGUGAAAAAGAACCUGAAACCGUGUACGUACAAGCAGUGGGAGCCUCUUUAUGGGGUGACUGCGUACCUUUUGUAUAAUGGGUCAGCGACUUAUAUUCUGUAGCAAGGUUAACCGUAUAGGGGAGCCGAAGGGAAACCGAGUCUUAACUGGGCGUUAAGUUGCAGGGUAUAGACCCGAAACCCGGUGAUCUAGCCAUGGGCAGGUUGAAGGUUGGGUAACACUAACUGGAGGACCGAACCGACUAAUGUUGAAAAAUUAGCGGAUGACUUGUGGCUGGGGGUGAAAGGCCAAUCAAACCGGGAGAUAGCUGGUUCUCCCCGAAAGCUAUUUAGGUAGCGCCUCGUGAAUUCAUCUUCGGGGGUAGAGCACUGUUUCGGCUAGGGGGUCAUCCCGACUUACCAACCCGAUGCAAACUGCGAAUACCGAAGAAUGUUAUCACGGGAGACACACGGCGGGUGCUAACGUCCGUCGUGAAGAGGGAAACAACCCAGACCGCCAGCUAAGGUCCCAAAGUCAUGGUUAAGUGGGAAACGAUGUGGGAAGGCACAGACAGCCAGGAUGUUGGCUUAGAAGCAGCCAUCAUUUAAAGAAAGCGUAAUAGCUCACUGGUCGAGUCGGCCUGCGCGGAAGAUGUAACGGGGCUAAACCAUGCACCGAAGCUGCGGCAGCGACACUAUGUGUUGUUGGGUAGGGGAGCGUUCUGUAAGCCGUUGAAGGUGGCCUGUGAGGGUUGCUGGAGGUAUCAGAAGUGCGAAUGCUGACAUAAGUAACGAUAAUGCGGGUGAAAAACCCGCACGCCGGAAGACCAAGGGUUCCUGUCCAACGUUAAUCGGGGCAGGGUGAGUCGACCCCUAAGGCGAGGCCGAAAGGCGUAGUCGAUGGGAAACAGGUUAAUAUUCCUGUACUUGGUGUUACUGCGAAGGGGGGACGGAGAAGGCUAUGUUAGCCGGGCGACGGUUGUCCCGGUUUAAGCAUGUAGGCGGAGGUUCCAGGUAAAUCCGGUACCUUUUUAACGCUGAGGUGUGAUGACGAGGCACUACGGUGCUGAAGUAACAAAUGCCCUGCUUCCAGGAAAAGCCUCUAAGCAUCAGGUAACACGAAAUCGUACCCCAAACCGACACAGGUGGUCAGGUAGAGAAUACCAAGGCGCUUGAGAGAACUCGGGUGAAGGAACUAGGCAAAAUGGUGCCGUAACUUCGGGAGAAGGCACGCUGAUAUGUAGGUGAAGCGGUUUACCCGUGGAGCUGAAAUCAGUCGAAGAUACCAGCUGGCUGCAACUGUUUAUUAAAAACACAGCACUGUGCAAACACGAAAGUGGACGUAUACGGUGUGACGCCUGCCCGGUGCCGGAAGGUUAAUUGAUGGGGUUAUCCGUAAGGAGAAGCUCUUGAUCGAAGCCCCGGUAAACGGCGGCCGUAACUAUAACGGUCCUAAGGUAGCGAAAUUCCUUGUCGGGUAAGUUCCGACCUGCACGAAUGGCGUAAUGAUGGCCAGGCUGUCUCCACCCGAGACUCAGUGAAAUUGAACUCGCUGUGAAGAUGCAGUGUACCCGCGGCAAGACGGAAAGACCCCGUGAACCUUUACUAUAGCUUGACACUGAACACUGGUCCUUGAUGUGUAGGAUAGGUGGGAGGCUUUGAAGUGUGGACGCCAGUCUGCAUGGAGCCAUCCUUGAAAUACCACCCUUUAAUGGCUGGUGUUCUAACGUGGACCCGUUACCCGGGUUGCGGACAGUGUCUGGUGGGUAGUUUGACUGGGGCGGUCUCCUCCUAAAGAGUAACGGAGGAGCACGAAGGUUAGCUAAUCCUGGUCGGACAUCAGGAGGUUAGUGCAAAGGCAUAAGCUAGCUUGACUGCGAGAGUGACGGCUCGAGCAGGUGCGAAAGCAGGUCUUAGUGAUCCGGUGGUUCUGAAUGGAAGGGCCAUCGCUCAACGGAUAAAAGGUACUCCGGGGAUAACAGGCUGAUACCGCCCAAGAGUUCAUAUCGACGGCGGUGUUUGGCACCUCGAUGUCGGCUCAUCACAUCCUGGGGCUGAAGUAGGUCCCAAGGGUAUGGCUGUUCGCCAUUUAAAGUGGUACGCGAGCUGGGUUUAGAACGUCGUGAGACAGUUCGGUCCCUAUCUGCCGUGGGCGCUGGAGAAUUGAGGGGGGCUGCUCCUAGUACGAGAGGACCGGAGUGGACGCAUCACUGGUGUUCGGGUUGUCAUGCCAAUGGCAUUGCCCGGUAGCUAAAUGCGGAAGAGAUAAGUGCUGAAAGCAUCUAAGCACGAAACUUGCCCCGAGAUGAGUUCUCCCUGAGACUAUAAGUCUCCUGAAGGAACGUUGAAGACGACGACGUUGAUAGGUCGGGUGUGUAAGUGUAGCGAUACAUUGAGCUAACCGAUACUAAUGAACCGUGAGGCUUAACCUUACAACGCCGAAG